UCCACCUGGGACCCCCCAAAGUUCACCUGGGACCCCCAAACCUCACCUGGGACCCCCCAAAAUUCACCUGAACACCCCAAAAUUCACCUGGGACCCCCCAAAAUCAGACGAGGCCUUUAGAAAACACCUUUAAUGGGGGCACAGGUAAUAAAUAGGGGGCUCAGGUGGGCACAGGUGGGCUCAGGUGGGCUCAGGUGUGCCCAGGUGUGCCCAGGUGUGCCAGGGUUCACUCAGGUGCCGUUCCGGUGUCUCCAGGUGUGCCCAGGUGGGCUCAGGUGAGGCUCAGCUCUGCCCAGGUGUAGUCCAGGUGUGCCCAGGUGCAGUUCAGCUGAUCCCAGGUGUGCCCAGGUGUGCCCAGGUGCGCUCAGGUGAUCCCAGGUGAUUCCAGCUGUGCCCAGGUGUGCCCAGGUGCGCCCAGGUGCAGUUCAGGUGAUCCCAGGUGAUUCCAGCUGUGCCCAGGUGUGCCCAGGUGCGCUCAGGUGCUGUUCAGCUGAUCCCAGCUGUGCCCAGCUGUGCCCAGCUGUGCUCAGGUGCGCUCAGUUGAAGCUCAGGUGAUCCCAGCUGCGCCCAGGUGCGCCCAGGUGCAGUUCAGGUGUGCCCAGCUCUGCCCAGGUGCGCUCAGGUGCUGUUCAGGUGAUGCCAGCUGUGCCCAGCUGUGCCCAGGUGUGCUCAGGUGCAGUUCAGGUGAUCCCAGGUGUGCCCAGGUGUGCCCAGGUGCAGUUCAGGUGAUCCCAGGUGCACUCAGGUGUGCCCAGCUGUGCUCAGGUGCGCUCAGUUGAAGCUCAGGUGUGCCCAGGUGUGCCCAGGUGCGCUCAGGUGCAGUUCAGGUGAUUCCAGCUGUGCCCAGCUGUGCCCAGGUGCGCUCAGGUGCAGUUCAGGUGAUCCCAGGUGCGCCCAGCUGUGCUCAGGUGCGCUCAGUUGAAGCUCAGGUGAUCCCAGGUGUGCCCAGGUGUGCUCAGGUGUGCCCAGGUGCGCUCAGGUGCAGUUCAGGUGAUCCCAGCUGUGCCCAGGUGCGCUCAGUUGAAGCUCAGGUGAUCCCAGGUGUGCCCAGGUGUGCCCAGGUGUGCCAGGUGCGCUCAGUUGAAGCUCAGGUGAUCCCAGGUGUGCCCAGGUGUGCCCAGGUGCGCCCAGGUGUGCCCAGCUGCGCUCAGGUGCAGUUCAGGUGAUCCCAG
rnacentral:lncRNA from 1 species